rnacentral:tRNA from 1 species
GUUGGGGUGGCAGAGCCCGGAAAUUGCAAAAGACUUAAAUCCUUCUCACAGAGGUUCAAAUCCUCUCCUCAACU